rnacentral:rRNA from 1 species
GACGAACGCUGGCGGCGUGCUUAACACAUGCAAGUCGAACGGUGAAGCGCCUUCCUUUUUGGUGGGUGUGGAUGAGUGGCGAACGGGUGAGUAACACGUGAGUAACCUGCCCCCUUCUUCUGGAUAACCGCAUGAAAGUGUGGCUAAUACGGGAUAUUCUGGGUCUGUCGCAUGAUGGGUCUGGGAAAGAUAUUGCUUCGGUGGGGGAUGGGCUCGCGGCCUAUCAGCUUGUUGGUGGGGUGAUGGCCUACCAAGGCGGUGACGGGUAGCCGGCCUGAGAGGGUGGACGGUCACACUGGGACUGAGACACGGCCCAGACUACUACGGGAGGCAGCAGGGGGGAAUAUUGCACAAUGGGCGCAAGCCUGAUGCAGCGACGCCGCGGGAGGGAUGGAGGCCUUCGGGUUGUGAACCUCUUUCGCCAGUGAAGCAGGCCUGCCUCGUUUGUGGGUGGGUUGACGGUAGCUGGAUAAGAAGCGCCGGCUAACUACGUG